rnacentral:rRNA from 1 species
CACGUAGGGCGCGAGCGUUGUCCGGAAUUAUUGGGCGUAAAGAGCUCGUAGGCGGCCUGUUGCGUCCGCUGUGAAAGCCCGGGGCUUAACCCCGGGUCUGCAGUGGAUACGGGCAGGCUAGAGGUAGGUAGGGGAGAACGGAAUUCCCGGUGUAGCGGUGAAAUGCGCAGAUAUCGGGAGGAACACCGGUGGCGAAGGCGGUUCUCUGGGCCUGUACUGACGCUGAGGAGCGAAAGCGUGGGGAGCGAACAGG